AUGCUCAAUCUUCCCCAUCUGUGUGUCAUUGUACCGGGACAGCGGCAGGUCAAGGAUGACCGGCUUCUUCUCGCAGUUGAGCACCUGGGAGAAAUCCAGGCUCUGAUAGUACUGGCCUGGUGCGCCAUAGAUGCAGUCAUUGAAGUCCACCUCCAAUGGGUGUGCGCCCUUCAUCGAGUAAAUGAACUCGCCGCGGCGCCACUCCCACGACAGCCGCCAGUUGUCGAGGCGGCCGAGCUUGGCGUUGUUCUCGAGCGUGACAAGCGCCAGGUAGCUGGUCGGGUAUGCCUGGACGACGUCGUAGGUGAUGACGAGGUCGCCGGUGCGGCGCGGGAGGAAGCUCUUGGUGGGGUCGGUGGCGUUGGCCUCGGGGACCGUGGCGUUGGCCUCGGCCUCGGGGGUGAGGAGGCAACAGGUGGUGAGGAUGGUGGCGGUGACAUUGGUCGCCGCCGGGCAGUUGUAGUCCGGGUCGUGGAGCGUCAAGGCGGUGGGCAGCGGCUCCGGCACGAGGCCGCGCGGGCCGGCGAAGAGCGUGCCGACCAAUCCGACGGAGGCCUGGAUCUGCGUGAUGUCCCCGGCGGUGGCAAUCGGCGUGAGGAGGUCCGUCUGCGGGUACCCGGAGAAGGAGGUGGCGUUGCCGGCGUCAUCGGUGGUGUUGUAGGGCAGCUCGGCCCCGCCGGUGAGCACGGCGCCGCCGACGCCGACGAGGAUCUCGUCGUGGCCGAAGGUGACGAGCAUCGCCCAGGACCUGAGCGGGCGGGUGCCGCCGUUGAGCACGGAGGCGUUGGCCUUGAAGGAGUAAGGCUGCUUGUUCCUGUCGGGGACGAAUGGGCGGAUCUUCUCGCGGCCCUGGAGGUUGUAGGUGAGCUGGAUGCCGUUGCAGCCGGGGUCGGGCGCGGGCGCCCUCGGCGUCUGCUGGGCGGCCGCGAGCCCCGCGAGCAGCAGGAUGGCCCCGAGGACCACGGCCUGGGCGGCAAUCGAGCCGACCAUGGCUGGAUCGGCAAGGGAGGAGGCGAUUUGGGGGGGAGCGAGGCGAGGCGGGGCGGGGCAGCAGAUAGAUGA
rnacentral:rRNA from 1 species